rnacentral:rRNA from 1 species
UACAGAGGGUGCGAGCGUUGUCCGGAAUCACUGGGCGUAAAGGGCGCGUAGGUGGCGCAACAAGUCAGUGGUGAAAGCUCGACGCUCAACGUCGAGUCGGCCACUGAGACUGUUGGGCUUGAGCACUGUAGAGGCUAAUGGAAUUCCGGGUGUAGCGGUGGAAUGCGUAGAGAUCCGGAAGAACACCGGUGGCGAAGGCGGUUGGCUGGGCAGUUGCUGACACUGAGGCGCGACAGCGUGGGGAGCAAACAGG